rnacentral:rRNA from 1 species
CGCGCUGGCGGCGUGCUUACACAUGCAGUCGAACGAUGAACCCCGCUUGCGGGGGGAUUAGUGGCGAACGGGUGAGUAACACGUGAGUAACCUGCCCUUAACUCUGGGAUAAGCCUUGGAAACGAGGUCUAAUACUGGAUAUUGACAUUUCACCGCAUGGUGGUUUGUUGAAAGAUUUAUUGGUUUUGGAUGGACUCGCGGCCUAUCAGCUUGUUGGUGAGGUAAUGGCUCACCAAGGCGACGACGGGUAGCCGGCCUGAGAGGGUGACCGGCCACACUGGGACUGAGACACGGCCCAGACUCCUACGGGAGGCAGCAGUGGGGAAUAUUGCACAAUGGGCGAAAGCCUGAUGCAGCGACGCCGCGUGAGGGAUGACGGCCUUCGGGUUGUAAACCUCUUUCAGUAGGGAACAACGCCAGCAUUUUUGGUGGUUGAGGGUACUUGCAGAAGACCCGCCGGAUAACUGCGCGCCAGCCCCCGCGAUACUACGUGGGGCGCAGGCUUUAUCAGGUAUUUUGCGGUGAAAAGAGCUAAUACGCGUUGUGUCGCCUCUGCGAAGACACCGCGGAACAUCACCCGCGGAUCUGGGGGUGGGGGGCGGAAAACAC